rnacentral:pre_miRNA from 1 species
CUUCAGACUUCGUGCUUCUUUGCAUACCCAUACUGUAUUAUGAUAUGGAAUGUAAAGAAGUAUGUAGUUUGGCC